rnacentral:rRNA from 1 species
GUAGUCCACACAGUAAUCGAUGGGCACUAGUUGUGGGAACCUUCCACGGUUUCUGCGACGCAGCUAACGCAUUAAGUGCCCCGCCUGGGGAGUACGAUCGCAAGAUUAAAACUCAAAGGAAUUGACGGGGCCCCGCACAAGCAGCGGAGCAUGCGGCUUAAUUCGACGCAACGCGAAGAACCUUACCAAGGCUUGACAUAUACAGGAAUAUGGCAGAGAUGUCAUAGCCGCAAGGUCUGUAUACAGGUGGUGCAUGGUUGUCGUCAGCUCGUGUCGUGAGAUGUUGGGUUAAGUCCCGCAACGAGCGCAACCCUCGUUCUGUGUUGCCAGCAUUUAGUUGGGGACUCACAGGAGACUGCCGGGGUCAACUCGGAGGAAGGUGGGGAUGACGUCAAAUCAUCAUGCCCCUUAUGUCUUGGGCUGCACGCAUGCUACAAUGGCUGGUACAAAGGGCUGCAAUACUGCAAAGUGGAGCGAAUCCCAAAAAGCCAGUCUCAGUUCGGAUUGGGGUCUGCAACUCGACCCCAUGAAGUCGGAGUUGCUAGUAAUCGUAGAUCAGCAACGCUACGGUGAAUACGUUCCCGGGGCUUGUACACACCGCCCGUCACAUCACGAAAGUCGGUAACACCCGAAGUCAGUGGCCCAACCGUAAGGGGGGAGCUGC